UACGUAGGGUGCAAGCGUUGUCCGGAAUUAUUGGGCGUAAAGAGCUCGUAGGCGGUUUGUCGCGUCUGCUGUGAAAACCCGGGGCUUAACCCUGGGCUUGCAGUGGAUACGGGCAGACUAGAGGCAGGUAGGGGAGAAUGGAAUUCCCGGUGUAGCGGUGAAAUGCGCAGAUAUCGGGAGGAACACCGGUGGCGAAGGCGGUUCUCUGGGCCUGACCUGACGCUGAGGAGCGAAAGCGUGGGGAGCGAACAGG
rnacentral:rRNA from 1 species